GCGGCAGUCGCUGGCAAUAGCUAGAGGAAAGUCCAUGCUCGCACGCUCUGUGAUGAGCGUAGUGUUUGUGCUGGAUGAAAAAAUAAAUCCAGGCAGUGUAAAAACUGACGGCUGGAGAAUGCCUGUGGCAAAUAGCUAUGGCGGACUCCUUUAAAAGUGCCACAGAGACGAGCUUUUUAGGAAACUAAAAAGGUGGAACGGGUAAACCCCACAAGCGAGAAACCCAAAUUUGGUAGGGGAAUCUGAUUAUAGCGAAACGAAGCUAAUAAUCGGAACGUGUAGCACGUAGAUAAAUGGCUGCCACUCAUUUUAUGAGUACAGAACAUGGCUUAU
rnacentral:RNase_P_RNA from 1 species